AGCUUUAUGUAUUUCCCUAUAAGGUUAUUUCUGCCCAGUGAUUUAUUUUAACGGCCGCAGUACCUUGACUGUGCUAAGGUAGCAUAAUAAAUUGACUUUUAAUUGAAGUCUGGUAUGAACGGGAAAAUGGGGGGUGACUGUCUUAAUAAUUUUUUUGCUAAUUUACUUAUAAGGUGAAAAUUCCUUAAUAAAAGAUAAAAGACGAGAAGACCCUUAGAAUUUUAAUUAUUUGUAAUUUCUAUUGCUUUUUUUUUGUUGGGGUGAUAAAGUAAAAAUAAUAACUUACUAUGAUUAAUUAGCCGGAUAUUCUCAUGAAAGAAAAAAUUACCUUAGGGAUAACAGCAUAAUUUUUUUUUUAGAUUGUGACCUCGAUGUUGGACUAGGAACUUUAUAAUAAGCAAUUAGAAGAGAUAGUUCUGUUCGAACUUUUACUUCCU
rnacentral:rRNA from 1 species